AUGAACACUGAUGAAGACUACCCACGUGAUGAGGUACCAUACUGUUCUACAGGUAUUUCCUCAUCCCUGAAGGUGUUUGAUUCAACGGAACAACGGGAGCUCAGACAGUCAUCUUUCUUCCCCAGUGACAAGAACCAUGAUUUCAUUCCUUCCAACUUUUCAGAUCCCCUGGAAGCUAAAAGAACGCUGAUGACUGCCAAUCUGUCGCAGCACCUGCUAACAAAUGAAUCCAGAUAUUUAGAGCCAGUCUUUCGGGCCACAAGCAUCGUAUAAAUGUGCAGCACCUAUUAUAUGCGCACGUCUAGGCUAGAUUCUCUGCGGGAGACACUGGGAGAAGCAGCAGCUACAGAUACCAAGAGUUUUGUAUCUUGUUAAAUUCAAUCCAAUUAACUCAAUCAAUGAAUCAACCAGCACUUACUGGAACAUUCUACAGGCCCAGUCCCACCAAGGCGCAGCAGGAGAGACAUUUCUGCUCCGUAGGAAUUUGACACCUGAAUCAUUUCAUGGCUUCCCUACCCUUAAAAAUGGGGAACAGAAGUUAUCAUAAGGCUAUUAAUAAUAGAAGGCAGGAAUCUACCUGGAAAUGAGGAAGCAGGCCUCACCAAAAGCAGACUGGAAGGUCAGUCAUUACCUCAGGAGCUCCAGGACAAGAUUACCACAUGUUCCUCACUACCAGAGCUUGGAGGCUCUGGUCCUUAAAGAAGACAAUGCUCGCUCAUGUUUCAGUCAAGCAGAACCCUCCCGUUCAUUCGGCAUGGAGUGCCCCUGUUUAAGGGAAAGUCUGCUUUCCCCAACAAGGACCGUGGACGAGUUUGGUUUGCCCCACAAGAGGCUGCCAUAAUAGUCCUCUUUAGAAAAUGACCUUUUUCCCCUCUUUCCCACUCCCAGCUGGCGGGGGAUGGGGGGCUGCUGCGGAUUGUAGCAGGCACUGUCCAGGUCCUUGAGAAGAAGGACUUUCUGGAGGGAUGUAAGUUCCACAGAAAGUUCUAGAAAACAGGGAAAUCAUGAGGGAAAAAUGAUUUUGUGGGUCAGAAAAACAGCCCAAUGGACUAGAAAACUUGGGGGACAGUUUAUCAAAGAGGUGGGGAAGAAACUGAGCCUUGAAGAUGUGGUGACCCCAGAUAUCCAAGAAGCUGGAGACGUUCCAGGCAGACAAAACUGGUUGAGCCACGACAAGAGUCCCAAAAUGAGCUUCUCCGUAAGUAUACAACUCCCUUAAGUGCAGCAGCUGGGACUCACUAUGUCUUUUUUAAAGUUGGGAAUAAAAGAGCAAAGGGAAAGUGACCA
rnacentral:lncRNA from 1 species